rnacentral:rRNA from 1 species
CGGAGGGAGCUAGCGUUGUUCGGAAUUACUGGGCGUAAAGCGCACGUAGGCGGCUUUGUAAGUUAGAGGUGAAAGCCCGGGGCUCAACCCCGGAAUUGCCUUUAAGACUGCAUCGCUUGAAUCCAGGAGAGGUGAGUGGAAUUCCGAGUGUAGAGGUGAAAUUCGUAGAUAUUCGGAAGAACACCAGUGGCGAAGGCGGCUCACUGGACUGGUAUUGACGCUGAGGUGCGAAAGCGUGGGGAGCAAACAGG